AUGAGUAACAGGGACAGGGGGAGAGGGUGGCGAUUGUUAGCCCAUGGGUCAGCAUCAUGUGAUCAACCCAAUGUCUACCUCCUCUCCUGUUCCAACCAGCAACCAGGGAGCCUCAAACGGAAAGAUAGGAGAAGCACUCAACGACCUGAAACAUCCACCAUCCAAAGAACAUCCAGCCAACUUGACACAACUGUGGGAAGCAUUGGAGUCAACAUGGGCUAGCGUUCCUGUGGAACAUUUUCGACACCUUGUGAAGUCCACGCACUGACGAAUUGAGGCUGUUCUGUCGGCAAAAGGGGGUGCAACUCAAUAUUAAGCAGGCCUGAGGGUGUACCUGGGUGAAAGUUCACCUAAGAAGCUGAGAGGAUUCCUGACCCUAACUAGCUCCAUCUUCAAUGGCUUCAGGAAUGUCAUGGUCAGAUUAGAAAGAGGAGGACUUUCAAGGUUCACACCAUUCAGUCAAAUCCCCUUCUGAAUGUUCCAGUUGACCGCCCUGAGCCUUCUCCACUCCAAAUCGGACCAGCUCAACCUCGCCAUCAUGUGCCCUGGAUUACCCUGUCCUGGCCCGGCUGGACUGAACAAGAUUCUGAACAACUCAUCGGACAAAUGACUAGAAAUGGAAUCCCUUUGUAGCAUGAUGUUGUACACAUUUAUGGCAAAGUUCUCAAAAUAAACAUGUGAAAUAAAUUCUAAUAGGAGAAUUUUAGCAAGUUUGGAGGUUGACGUUCAAGUAUCAAACAUAGAAUUAGGAUGGAAGGAAGACACAGUGUGGUUGAAAUAGUCACGCACGCACACGUGUACACACACACAAACACACACUAUCUCACCCUCUCUCUCUCACUGUCUCUCUCUCUCUCUGCAGGGAGCUGAUGGGUACUGAUAACAUGUGGCACUGGCUCAUGGCCCUUGGUGGCCUCCCUGCCAUCCUCCAGUUUGACCUUUCUCUUUUACCCUGAGGCUCCCCGCUAACUAUACAUCAAGGGAGACACUGAGGGCUGCAAAAAAAGCCCUGCACUGGCUGUGGCAGGAAGAUGACCUGCAGAUGAAAUGGGUGGGGGGGCAACCCACUCAAGUGACGCACCCCUCCCAGGGAUGAUAUGAAAGAGCCCCAGUAAGCCAGUGACUCAGCCCCUGUAAUAGGGUUAGAGGCAGAGAAUCCCAGUGGAAAGAGGGGAACCG